rnacentral:misc_RNA from 1 species
UGUGGGAGCUGGCUUGCCUGCGAUGCAGGCAACUCGGUCGGUCAGCCAGACCCAGUUGAUGCUAUCGCAGGCAAGCCAGCUCCCACA